UAGGGAAUCUUCCGCAAUGGGCGAAAGCCUGACGGAGCAACGCCGCGUGAGUGAUGAAGGUCUUCGGAUCGUAAAACUUUGUUAUUAGGGAAGAACAAAUGUGUAAGUAACUAUGCACGUCUUGACGGUACUUAAUCAGAAAGCCACGGCUAACUACGUGCCAGCAGCCGCGGUAUUACGUAGGUGGCAAGCGUUACCCGGAAUUAUUGGGCGUAAAGCGCGCCUAGGCGGUGUUUUAAGUAUGAUGUGAAAGCACACGGCUCAACAGUGGAGGGUCGUUGGAAACUAGAGAACUUGGGUGCAGAAGGAGAAAGUGGAAGUCCAUGUGGUGCGGUGAAAUGCGCAGAAUAAUGGAGGAACACCAGUGGCGAAGACGACUUUCUGGUCUGUAACUGACGCUGAUGUGCGAAGGCGUGGGGAUCAAACAGG
rnacentral:rRNA from 1 species